rnacentral:snoRNA from 1 species
UAUAUACAUGAGAGACAAGUUUUUCAUUAACACUACAAGGGUCUCUGGCCCAAUGAGUGGGGUUUGAUAGUAAUACUUGCUACAAGU